UACGGAGGGGCUAGCGUUGUUCGGAAUUACUGGGCGUAAAGCGCACGUAGGCGGCUUUGUAAGUUAGAGGUGAAAGCCCGGGGCUCAACUCCGGAAUUGCCUUUAAGACUGCAUCGCUAGAAUUGUGGAGAGGUAAGUGGGAAUUCCGAGUGUAGAGGUGGAAAUUCGUAGAUAUUCGGAAGAACACCAGUGGCGAAGGCGAACUUACUGGACACAUAUUGACGCUGAGGUGGCGGAAAAGCGUGGGGAGCAAACAGGGAUUAAGA
rnacentral:rRNA from 1 species